CGAACCGGCCGGCGUCGCCUCGCAGCGCCCGCUCGCUUCCCCGCUCGGGCAGAGGCGAGAUGCGGGGGGGGCCGUCGGCGCCGCCCGCUCCCCAAGCUCCGCCCGCUCCCGGCGGCGGCGGCGGCGGGAGCAGCUCCCCGGCCCGCCGGCGGCGGCUCCUCCCGGCCCAGAUUAUGGCCGCCGCCGCAUCCGCCCCGCGGCGGCCCGGGGAGGGGCGGCGGGCCGCGGCGCUCCGGCGCUCGCCCGCCUGUCAAAGCCUGUUAGCCCGCCGCCCGCCGCCGCCACCACAUCUCGCGAGAGGAGCGCCGGCUCCGCGGGCUGCGGCUGCUCCUUGACGUUGUCCGGGUGUAAACGGUCCGGAUGCGCGGCUCGGAUGAGCAAGUGCAAAGAUGAGAUGUCCGCCUGCGGGAAAGCGUGGACCAGUAAAUGCCGGGGAUGCACAGGAAUGCUUGCCCACCGAUACCUUGAAGGAGGAAUAAACGAGGAGAGCAGAAGUGGGUGGUCGGUUGAGCGCUGUUUCACCUUCCAGCCUCCAGAUCUCUCCCGAGUGUGCUGUAAAGAUCAUUGUCUCCUCGCAUAAUAGAUCUAAUGUCAGCCAUGCGCCUUUUUCUGUGUCUCUGUUGCAACUCUUUGCCCCUGUUCUCUUAAAUUGUACUCUUUCUCCAAAAGUAUACGUGGUUAGUUCUUUUAAAAAGGCAGUCGUUCUGCCUCCCCUCUCUUAGUGGAGCCUAAGUGUCUGGAUAAUCCAUUAAAGCAUGGGACGUUAGCCCUGACGCUGUGAAAAAGAAACCUCAGAUGCGGGUAAAAUCCUUCGGCUCCCAUAGCAAGAAAUUAGAAAGGGAUCCACCAACAGUUUUUCAUCAUGCUUUUUUAUUGUCUUUAUACUUGAAGGUAGUAGCUCCCAGAAUAGGAGGAGAGAUGGGCAACAGUUGCCAAAACAAUUUUACCUUACUUAGUUGCUAAAAAUCAUCAAGCAUUCACUUAAGUUAGUCCUCUCAAGCAAUGGCAUUUCUUUAUUUCAAAACAUUUUGGUUGGUACUUCUGGGUUCCACAUCUUUUUUCCUAAUGAUGUGCAGUUUUGUGUAUUUUUCCCCUCUGUCUACCAAAGUCUGAGUGCCAAAACAUCCAGUUUCUACCUCAACACGUCUUGACUAUUUUAUUUAAAUUAACAGCAAACUUGGUGACUUAAUCCAACAGAAAAGGAGUGGAGUUACAAAACAAAGCUUGCUUUUUCUUAACAGUUACUUAGAGGAAGAAGUAUUUCAAUUUUGGGGAUGUGUACAUGCAUAAAAGAGCUGAGGAUAUUUCAGUAGAUUGAAAAGAUGGGUACGCUGAUCCUUUCCUGUUCAAACACUGUUCUAGAAAAAGAACAAAAGUCACAUACUUCAAAAUUGUUUGGGAAAUUCCUUGAUGGACUCCAAAACUGCCAAGAGUAACAGAUUAAAAAAGACAGGAUUCAGCAAAUUUUCAGAGUGUAAAGAAUAAACAAAAAUCUGUGAGUGAACUGGAAAAUAAAAGAUUAAACCAUGGUGAAAUUUUUACUUUUUUCAGGGAGCAAGGACUUGAAAAAGAGUGGAUGGUAAAGAGAACAAGUCAGAAUAAAGGAUUUUGGUUCAGAAUUGAAAGCAAACAGCACUAGAACAGCAGAUGAUGUGCAAAGAAAAUCCUCCAGUGUAUGUUUUGCAUAAGGAGACACUGCAUGAUCAACACCUGCAGAGAAUGUC
rnacentral:lncRNA from 1 species